rnacentral:rRNA from 1 species
AGAGUUUGAUCAUGGCUCAGAACGAACGUUGGCGGCAUGGAUUAGGCAUGCAAGUUGAGCGUACCCAGCAAUGGGGAGCAGCGUAAGGGGCAGUAAUGCAUAGGUACCUACCCCGGGGUCGGGCAUAGCCUGUAGAGAUACAGGGUAAUUCCCGAUGACCUCGUGAGAGCAAAGUUCCGGCGCCCUGGGAGGGGCCUAUGUGAUAUUAGCUAGUUGGUGAGGUAAUGGCUCACCAAGGCGAAGAUGUCUAGCGGGUGUGAGAGCACGACCCGCGCCACUGGCACUGAGACACUGGCCAGACACCUACGGGUGGCUGCAGUCGAGGAUCUUCGGCAAUGAGCGCAAGCUUGACCGAGCGAUGCCGCGUGGAUGAUGAAGGCCUUCGGGUUGUAAAAUCCUGUCGAGGGGGAGAAAAGGAAACUUGAUCUAUCCCUGGAGGAAGGACGGGCUAAGUUCGUGCCAGCCGCCGCGGUAAUUC